rnacentral:rRNA from 1 species
AUUGAACGCUGGCGGCAUGCCUAACACAUGCAAGUCGAACGGCAGCAUGGUACAGCUUGCUGUACUGAUGGCGAGUGGCGAACGGGUGAGUAACGCGUAGGAAUAUUCCAUGAGGAGUGGGACAACCUGGGGAAACUCAGGCUAAUACCGCAUAUAAUCUGUUUAGAUGAAAGCUGGGGACCGCGAGGCCUGGCGCCUUAUGAUUAGCCUGCGUCCGAUUAGCUAGUUGGUGGGGUAAGAGCUUACCAAGGCGAAGAUCGGUAGCUGGUCUGAGAGGAUGGACAGCCACACUGGGACUGAGACACGGCCCAGACUCCUACGGGAGGCAGCAGUGGGGAAUAUUGGACAAUGGGGGGAACCCUGAUCCAGCGAUGCCGCGUGUGUGAAGAAGGCCUAUGGGUUGUAAAGCACUUUCGGUGGGAGGAA